UGGGGAAUCUUGCACAAUGGGGGCAACCCUGAUGCAGCGACGCCGCGUGAGCGAUGAAGCCCUUCGGGGCGUAAAGCUCUUUCGACCGGAACGAUAAUGACGGUACCGGGAGAAGAAGCUGCGGCUAACUACGUGCCAGCAGCCGCGGUAAUACGUAGGCAGCAAGCGUUGUUCGGAAUUACUGGGCGUAAAGGGUGCGUAGGCGGCGCUCUAAGUUUGGCGUGAAAUCUCCCGGCUUAACUGGGAGGGUGCACUGAAAACUGGGGCGCUCGAGUAUGGGAGAGGAAAGCGGAAUUCCUGGUGUAGCGGUGAAAUGCGUAGAGAUCAGGAGGAACACCUGCGGUGCAGACGGCUUUCUGGACCAUCACUGACGCUGAGGCACGAAAGCGUGGGUAGCAAACA
rnacentral:rRNA from 1 species